CGUCGUAGAGUGAUCCUGCGCUCAGGCUGGAUCACCUCUUGAUCUGUCCAUCAGUGGCGAACGGGUGAGCCACACGUGAGCAAUCUGCCCCUGACUCUGGGAUAAGCGCUGGAAACGGCGUCUAAUACCGGAUACGAGCUGCGACCGCAUGGUCAGUAGCUGGAAAGAAUUUCGGUCAGGGAUGAGCUCGCGGCCUAUCAGCUUGUUGGUGAGGUAAUGGCUCACCAAGGCGUCGACGGGUAGCCGGCCUGAGAGGGCGACCGCGCCACACUUGGUACUAGGCUACGGCCAAGUCUAAUACGGGAGUCAGCAUUGGGGAAUAUUGCACAAUGGGCGAAAGGCUGAUGCCAGCACGUUCGCUUGAGGGAUCGCCGCCUGCGGGUUGUCAACCUCUUUCAGCAGGGUAGCAUGCGUAAGUGACUGUACCUGCAGAACAAGCGCCGCCUAACUACGUGACAGCAGCCGCGGUAAUACGUAGGGCUGCAGCGUUAUCCGUACUUAUCGGUCGUAAAGAGCUCGUAGGCGGUCUGUCGCGUCUGCUGUGACAUCGCGAGGCUCAGCCUCGGGCCCUGCAGUGGGUACGGGCAGACUAGAGUGCUGGUAGUGGAGAUCUGGAAUUCCUGGUGUAGCGGUGGAAUGCGCAGAUAUCAGGGAGGAACUCCGAUGGCGCAGGCAGAUCUCUGGGCCGUUACUGACGCUGAGGGAGCGAAAGGGUGGUGGAGCAAACAGGCUUAGAUACCCUGGUAGUCCACCCCGUAAACGUUGGGAACUAGUUGUGGGGUCCAUUCCACGGAUUCCGUGACGCAGCUAACGCAUUAAGUUCCUCCGCCUGGGGAGUACGGCCGCAAGGCUAAAACUCAAAGGAAUUGACGGGGACCCGCACAAGCGGCGGAGCAUGCGGAUUAAUUCGAUGCAACGCGAAGAACCUUACCAAGGCUUGACAUAUAGAGGAAACGUCUGGAAACAGUCGCCCCGCAAGGUCUCUAUACAGGUGGUGCAUGGUUGUCGUCAGCUCGUGUCGUGAGAUGUUGGGUUAAGUCCCGCAACGAGCGCAACCCUCGUUCUAUGUUGCCAGCACGUAAUGGUGGGAACUCAUGGGAUACUGCCGGGGUCAACUCGGAGGAAGGUGGGGAUGACGUCAAAUCAUCAUGCCCCUUAUGUCUUGGGCUUCACGCAUGCUACAAUGGCCGGUACAAAGGGCUGCAAUACCGUGAGGUGGAGCGAAUCCCAAAAAGCCGGUCCCAGUUCGGAUUAGAGGUCUGCAACUCGUCCUCAUGAAGUGGGAGUCGCUAGUAAUCGCAGAUCAGCAUCGCUGCGGGAAUCCGUUCCCGGGUCUCAUCUCUAUAGAGUUUCAACUCACAAAGGCUGGAUCACCUGAAGCCGGUGGCCCAACCCUUAGAGUUUGAUCCUGGCUCAGGCUGGAUCACCUCCUUAGAGUUUGUCCUGGCUCAGGCUGGUCUACCUCCUAGAGUGCCCUAGAACCCAC
rnacentral:rRNA from 1 species